GACGAACGCUGGCGGCGUGCUUAACACAUGCAAGUCGAACGGAAAGGCCCUGCUUGCAGGGUACUCGAGUGGCGAACGGGUGAGUAACACGUGGGUGAUCUGCCCUGCACUUCGGGAUAAGCCUGGGAAACUGGGUCUAAUACCGGAUAGGAGCCAUUUUUAGUGUGAUGGUUGGAAAGUUUUUUCGGUGUAGGAUGAGCUCGCGGCCUAUCAGCUUGUUGGUGGGGUAAUGGCCUACCAAGGCGGCGACGGGUAGCCGGCCUGAGAGGGUGGACGGCCACAUUGGGACUGAGAUACGGCCCAGACUCCUACGGGAGGCAGCAGUGGGGAAUAUUGCACAAGGGGCGCAAGCCUGAUGCAGCGACGCCGCGUGGGGGAUGACGGCCUUCGGGUUGUAAACUCCUUUCGCUAUGGACGAAGCUUUUUGUGACGGUACCUAGAUAAGAAGCACCGGCUAACUACGUG
rnacentral:rRNA from 1 species